rnacentral:rRNA from 1 species
AUUGAACGCUGGCGGCACGCUUAACACAUGCAAGUCAAGCGGUAACAUGGGUAGUAGCAAUACUAUCUGAUGACGAGCGGCGGACGGGUGAGUAACACGUAGGAACUUGCCCAGUAGAGGGGGACAACCAAGGGAAACUUUGGCUAAUACCGCAUAUACUCGAGAGAGGAAAGCUGCCAGCAAUGGUGGCGCUAUUGGAGAGGCCUGCGUCCGAUUAGCUAGUUGGUGAGGUAAUAGCUUACCAAGGCGAGGAUCGGUAACUGGUCUGAGAGGACGACCAGUCACACUGGGACUGAGACACGGCCCAGACUCCUACGGGAGGCAGCAGUGGGGAAUCUUGGACAGUGGGGGCAACCCUGAUCCAGCGAUGCCGCGUGAGUGAAGAAGGCCUUCGGGUCGUAAAGCUCUUUAGGCUGGGAAGAAGGUUAGUAGUUUAAGAGAUAACUAGCUUGACUGUACCAGCAGAAUAAGCACCGGCAAACUCUGUGCCAGCAGCCGCAGUAA